CGCACGGGUGCGUAACGCGUAACCAACCUACCCACAUCUGGGGGAUAGCCCGCCGAAAGGCGGAUUAAUACCGCAUAAGCUGCAGGCCCGGCAUCGGGCUUAUAGUAAAGAUUUAUUGGAUGUGGAUGGGGUUGCGUGCCAUUAGCUGGUUGGGGGGGUAACGGCCCACCAAGGCGACGACGGGUAGCUGGUCUGAGAGGAUGGCCAGCCACAUUGGGACUGAGAGACGGCCCAG
rnacentral:rRNA from 1 species